rnacentral:rRNA from 1 species
CCGUAAGUUUUAAAGGGCGCACGGUGGAUGCCUUGGCACAAGGAGCCGACGAAGGACGUGGGAGUCUGCGUUAAGCCUCGGGGAGUUGACAACCGAACUGUGAUCCGAGGAUGUCCGAAUGGGGAAACCCACCACGAGUCAUGUCGUGGUACCCGCUGCUGAAUGUAUAGGCAGUGUGGAGGGAACGCGGGGAAGUGAAACAUCUCAGUACCCGCAGGAAGAGAAAACAAAUAGUGAUUCCGUGAGUAGUGGCGAGCGAAAGCGGAGGAGGCUAAACCUGGUCUGUGUGAUACCCGGCAGGGGUUGCAGGUCAGGGGUUGUGGGACGUGUCUGCAGGGUCUGCCGGCCUUGCGACGUGGACGCGCAGUGGUAGUCGAAGCCGUGGUGAGUGCGGUGGCGUAGAGGGUGUGACCCCCGUAGACGAAACCAGUGCGCGGCGUGACGCUGUUCCCGAGUAGCACCGGGCCCGUGAAAUCCGGUGUGAAUCUGCCAGGACCACCUGGUAAGCCUGAAUACUACCUUGUGACCGAUAGCGGACAAGUACCGUGAGGGAAAGGUGAAAAGCACCCCGGGAGGGGAGUGAAAUAGUACCUGAAACCGUGCGCUUACAAUCCGUCGGAGCCUUGAGGGGUGACGGCGUGCCUUUUGAAGAAUGAGCCUGCGAGUUAGUGGUCGGUGGCGAGGUUAACCCGUGUGGGGUAGCCGUAGCGAAAGCGAGUCUGAACGGGGCGUUCAGUCGCCGGCUCUAGACCCGAAGCGAAGUGAUCUAUCCAUGGGCAGUGUGAAGCGCGGGUAAGACCGCGUGGAGGCGCGAACCCACUUCAGUUGAAAAUGGAGGGGAUGACCUGUGGAUAGGGGUGAAAGGCCAAUCAAACUUCGUGAUAGCUGGUUCUCCCCGAAAUGCAUUUAGGUGCAGCGUUGCGUGUUUCGUGCCGGAGGUAGAGCACUGGAUAGGCGAUGGGCCCCACCGGGUUACUGACCUUAGCCAAACUCCGAAUGCCGGUACGUGAGAGCGCAGCAGUGAGACUGUGGGGGAUAAGCUUCAUAGUCGAGAGGGAAACAGCCCAGAACAUCAGCUAAGGCCCCUAAGCGUGUGCUAAGUGGAAAAGGAUGUGGAGUUGCUGAGACAACCAGGAGGUUGGCUUAGAAGCAGCCACCCUUGAAAGAGUGCGUAAUAGCUCACUGGUCAAGUGAUUCUGCGCCGACAAUGUAGCGGGGCUCAAGCACACCGCCGAAGCUGUGUCACUCCAACGUGUGUUGGGGUGGGUAGGGGAGCGUCGUACAGCCGGUGAAGCCGCGGGGGAACCCAGUGGUGGAGGCUGUACGAGUGAGAAUGCAGGCAUGAGUAGCGAAAGACGGGUGAGAAACCCGUCCGCCGAUUGAUCAAGGGUUCCAGGGCCAGGUUUAUCCGCCCUGGGUUAGUCGGGACCUAAGGCGAGGCCGACAGGCGUAGUCGAUGGACAUCGGGUUGAUAUUCCCGAACCGAUCGUAGGAGGACCCAUACCGAGGCGAUUGAUGCUAACCACCCGAGCUGUCACCGCACCCUUCGGGGUGUGGAUGGUGGUGAGGCUGGGAACCAAGGUCGUAGUAGGUCAGCGCGUGGGAUGACGCAGAGAGGUAGCUUCCGCGGACUUAAUGGAAUAG